rnacentral:rRNA from 1 species
AACGAACGCUGGCGGCAUGCCUAACACAUGCAAGUCGAACGAGACCUUCGGGUCUAGUGUCGCACGGGUGCGUAACGCGUGGGAACCUGCCCUUAGGUUCGGAAUAACUCCCCGAAAGGGGUGCUAAUACCGGAUAAUGUCUUCGGACCAAAGAUUUAUCGCCUUUGGAUGGGCCCGCGUUGGAUUAGCUAGUUGGUAGGGUAAAAGCCUACCAAGGCGACGAUCCAUAGCUGGUCUGAGAGGAUGAUCAGCCUCACUGGGACUGAGACACGGCCCAGACUCCUACGGGAGGCAGCAGUGGGGAAUAUUGGACAAUGGGCGAAAGCCUGAUCCAGCAAUGCCGCGUGAGUGAUGAAGGCCUUAGGGUUGUAAAGCUCUUUUACCCGGGAUGAUAAUGACAGUACCGGGAGAAUAAGCGCCGGCUAACUCCGUG